AUUGAACGCUGGCGGCAGGCCUAACACAUGCAAGUCGAACGGUAACAGGAAGAAGCUUGCUUCUUUGCUGACGAGUGGCGGAUGGGUGAGUAAUGACUGGGAAACUGCCUGAUGGAGGGGGAUAACUACUGGAAACGGUAGCUAAUACCGCAUAACGUCGCAAGCCCAAAGAGGGGGACCUUCGGGCCUCUUGCCAUCGGAUGUGCCCAGAUGGGAUUAGCUAGUAGGUGGGGUAACGGCUCACCUAGGCGACGAUCCCUAGCUGGUCUGAGAGGAUGACCAGCCACAGUGGAACUGAGACGCGGUCCAGACUCCUACGGGAGGCAGCAGUGGGUAAGAUUGCACAAUGGGCGCAAGCCUGAUGCAGCCAUGCCGCGUGUAUGAAGAAGGCCUUCGGGUUGGAAAGUACUUUCAGCGGGGAGGAAGGGAGUAAAGUUAAUACCUUUGCUCAUUGACGUUACCCGCAGAAGAAGCAGCGGCUAACUCCGU
rnacentral:rRNA from 1 species